GAAGGCUACCCCCUUUUUAGAGUU
rnacentral:tRNA from 1 species